rnacentral:rRNA from 1 species
GCAUCUUCGGAUGUGUAUAAAGUGGCGAACGGCUGAGUAACACGUGGGCAACCUGCCCUUUGCACUGGGAUAGCCUCGGGAAACCGAGGUUAAUACCGGAUACUCCAUAUUUGUCGCAUGGCGAAUAUGGGAAAGCUCCGGCGGCAAAGGAUGGGCCCGCGGCCUGUUAGCUAGUUGGUGGGGUAGUGGCCUACCAAGGCAAUGAUGGGUAGCCGGGUUGAGAGACCGACCGGCCAGAUUGGGACUGAGACACGGCCCAGACUCCUACGGGAGGCAGCAGUGGGGAAUCUUGCACAAUGGGCGAAAGCCUGAUGCAGCGACGCCGCGUGCGGGAUGAAGGCCUUCGGGUUGUAAACCGCUUUCAGCAGGGACGAGGCCGCAAGGUGACGGUACCUGCAGAAGAAGCCCCGGCUAACUACGUGCCAGCAGCCGCGGUAAUACGUAGGGGGCAAGCGUUAUCCGGAUUCAUUGGGCGUAAAGCGCGCGUAGGCGGUCUGUUAGGUCAGGAGUUAAAUCUGGGGGCUCAACCCCUAUCCGCUCCUGAUACCGGCAGGCUUGAGUCUGGUAGGGGAAGAUGGAAUUCCAAGUGUAGCGGUGAAAUGCGCAGAUAUUUGGAAGAACACCGGUGGCGAAGGCGGUCUUCUGGGCCAUGACUGACGC